ACGCUGCCCCCUGCCUCGGAGACCUUCCCCCCGGGGAUGCCGUGCUGGGUCACUGGCUGGGGCGACGUGGACAAUAAUGGUGGGUGUUGGGGACAGCGGGAGGCCGGGCCAGGUGGGCACCAAGUCACAGCCACAGGCCAGUCCGUGGGGUGACAGGGUCCCUCAGGGCGGCUCAGGGAGGGGGACUGUGGAGGCCAGGAUGGAUGGAGCAGGCGGUGGCGAGAGGCAGCAGGUGCCCUGAGCAGAGACGGUGAGUCCAAAGGGCCUGGGCGUCCCCCACCCCAGGGGUUUGGAGAGUCCCUUAGCACCUCCGUGCCUCGGUUUCCCCUUGCCUGAAAGGGUGCAUCAAAAGUUUGUACGUCACGGACUUGCUAUGUGGAGAGAGAAAUCACACGGGGGUCUUGCUGGAAGGAGAGAGACCGGUGCUGGGAUGAGACCUGCCUGCCCUCCAUCCCUGUGCUACAGACAAGGCACAGAACAGCACUGGGCCCAUGGUGCCAUCUCCCCUGCCCGUGACUCUGCCACCAAGUCCACGAAGCAGCACCCAGCCGGCCCCAGACCCGGCUCCACGCCCCCCUCCGCCCCCAGUGCACCUGCCGCCGCC
rnacentral:lncRNA from 1 species